rnacentral:rRNA from 1 species
UACGAAGGGGCUAGCGUUGCUCGGAAUCACUGGGCGUAAAGCGCACGUAGGCGGAUUGCUAAGUCAGGGGUGAAAUCCUGGAGCUCAACUCCAGAACUGCCUUUGAUACUGGCAACCUUGAGUCCGGGAGAGGUGAGUGGAACUGCGAGUGUAGAGGUGAAAUUCGUAGAUAUUCGCAAGAACACCAGUGGCGAAGGCGGCUCACUGGCCCGGUACUGACGCUGAGGUGCGAAAGCGUGAGGAGCAAACAGG